rnacentral:lncRNA from 1 species
AUGGAUCAGCUGACUUUUGUUGUGAUGUUGUUUCUCAGUGUGAUGUCAUCAGGACUAGGCGGAGCCUUCGUUCCAGUCUUACUAAGUUCCAAACUUCCAUCCGCUCACCUGUCCAUCAGAUCCUUAAGCCACGCCCCGCCAUCCCUCCCUGCUAUGACCAUAACUUUCCUGAUGCCCCGCCCCCAGCCUGCUGAGGUGAUGAUGAUGCUGAUGGAGGUGUUGUUGAUGAUGAUGAUGAUGAUGAUGAUGAUGUUCUGUUUUCAGACCCUGGCCCAGCUCACCCUGGUCCUCCAGGCUCUGUGUCACGGUGUUGAUCAGGCAGCACUACGCUCACACACACCCCCACGGGUCGUCCAAUCACUGCUUGAGCAAGCGAGGCACGACCGGUUGGAGGGUGGGUGGGGCUGGGGGGCGGAGCCUCUGGCUGAGUGGGUGCUGACCCGCAGAGAGCAGCAGCUUAGCGUGUGCGAGGACAUUCUGUUGCAGACGGCCAGGACGGCGCUGAGGCGUGUCCACUACGGGGUGGGUCAGGAUCACCACGGGAAGUGGACUCAGCCUGAGCUCAGAGCAUGCUACGCCUGGACCGUGGACUUCCUGCUCAGACAGGAAGUGGGUCUGCACAGGAUCACAGGGACCAAACUGCCACGGGCGGUUCAGGAGAGGAGCCAGUGCUACGCCCACAGUCUGCAGGCUCAGGUUAGUGAGAGAACAUGCAAACCUCUCCUAUCACACGCCGCCAUGUCCCCAAACACACGCUGCUGCGUCACCAACACUAGGGACAGGCAUCCAGCACAUGGGGGGGUGCGACAAGUGGGUGGGGUAGAGCGCACUGAGCUCACCAAGCAUAGUGACGGAGCGCAUGUGGGGCGCGCUUAUUGGACCUGGGGGAGGUCGUGCGGAGAGCGUACACAUGCAGCACAUACACGAUUCCACACCAAAGAGGAGGAGCUCAUCAGAAUUAUCAUGGAGGGACCAGAACUGAUGGACUAUGAUACCAGGACAGAUGUUCAGCUGUGGUUCUCUCAGAGCAGGGGUCUGCAACCUGUGGUUCUGGGGCCUAAUGUGGCCCUUUGA